AAACAUUCGUUGACCAGGC
rnacentral:snRNA from 1 species